ACAUUCUCCAUUGUUCCUGAGCUCACAAUGUAAUAUAGACACAGUGUGAGUACUGCCAGCAUUCUUACAUCGGUCGGGUUACUGUGGCAGGCUGCCCCCUGUGUCGCUGAUCUGGGAAGCCCGGCUCCUGACCAACGUUAAUGCGGCAUAGUCAGAAUGAAUCCCACCAAGCUGAUUUCCAUACUCUCCCUUGGUCACGAGGCUCCUGAUCUUAUCUCUGCUCAUAGAACAGAUGCUGUCGUAGAUGCUUUCUGAUUACCAAGUCCACAGUUUCCUCCUACUCUGUGUGUCAGGAACACUGAGAUCAACGUGAGUACUGUCAAGCCCCUGGCCUUACUUGAAAGGGAUUUUAAGUUUCUUCUAUUGGUAAAAGCACCAUCCAGAAUCCACUAAGACCAACUAUGGUUGACUGAGAAAUAAGAAUAGCAAUCAAAUAUUAUACUCAUUAAUCAGUGCUUACAAAAUUUAGAACAAAGAAAAAAGAUCUUAUCAAAGUAUUUAAAGGCAUUGUAGAUGACUUAAGGAUCUUGUUCUUAACUCCUAGUGAUUCAUAGUCACCUAAGUGUUAUCAGUAAAAUG
rnacentral:lncRNA from 1 species